CGGACGAGAAGCUUGCUUCUCUGAUGUUAGCGGCGGACGGGUGAGUAACACGUGGAUAACCUACCUAUAAGACUGGGAUAACUUCGGGAAACCGGAGCUAAUACCGGAUAAUAUUUUGAACCGCAUGGUUCAAAAGUGAAAGACGGUCUUGCUGUCACUUAUAGAUGGAUCCGCGCUGCAUUAGCUAGUUGGUAAGGUAACGGCUUACCAAGGCAACGAUGCAUAGCCGACCUGAGAGGGUGAUCGGCCACACUGGAACUGAGACACGGUCCAGACUCCUACGGGAGGCAGCAGUAGGGAAUCUUCCGCAAUGGGCGAAAGCCUGACGGAGCAACGCCGCGUGAGUGAUGAAGGUCUUCGGAUCGUAAAACUCUGUUAUUAGGGAAGAACAUAUGUGUAAGUAACUGUGCACAUCUUGACGGUACCUAAUCAGAAAGCCACGGCUAACUACGUGC
rnacentral:rRNA from 1 species